rnacentral:rRNA from 1 species
GAUGAACGCUAGCGGCAGGCCUAAUACAUGCAAGUCGGACGGGAUUCAGGAGCUUGCUUCUGAUGAGAGUGGCGCACGGGUGCGUAACACGUAUGUAACCUACCUUUAUCAGGGGGAUAGCCUCUCGAAAGAGAGAUUAAGCCCGCAUAAAAUCACAGCACAGCAUUGUGUAAUGAUCAAAUAUUUAUAGGAUAAAGAUGGGCAUGCGGAACAUUAGCUAGAUGGCGGGGUAACGGCCCACCAUGGCGACGAUGUUUAGGGGAUCUGAGAGGAUGGCCCCCCACACUGGUACUGAGACACGGACCAGACUCCUACGGGAGGCAGCAGUAAGGAAUAUUGGUCAAUGGGCGGAAGCCUGAACCAGCCAUGCCGCGUGCAGGAAGACGGCCCUACGGGUUGUAAACUGCUUUUAUACGGGAAUAAACCCAGAUACGUGUAUCUGGCUGAAUGUACUGUAAGAAUAAGGAGCGGCUAACUCCGUG